ACGAGAUUACGGGGCAACUUGUAGUUUAGUGGCGGAAGGGUUAGUAAUACAUGAAUAACUUGCCUUUAACCUGGGAAUAACGGCUGGAAACGGACGCUAAUACCGAAUGAGGUGUUUUAAGAAAUCUUUUAACAUCAAAGUGGGGGACUAAAGAAAUUUGGCCUUGCGGUUAGAGAGAGGUUCAUGCGAUAUCAGCUAGUUGGUGUGGUAAUGGCGCACCAAGG
rnacentral:rRNA from 1 species